rnacentral:rRNA from 1 species
UACGUAGGGUGCGAGCGUUGUCCGGAAUUAUUGGGCGUAAAGAGCUCGUAGGCGGCUUGUCGCGUCGGCUGUGAAAACUUGGGGCUCAACCCUGAGCUUGCAGUCGAUACGGGCAGGCUGGAGUUCGGCAGGGGAGACUGGAAUUCCUGGUGUAGCGGUGAAGUGCGCAGAUAUCAGGAGGGACACCGGUGGCGAAGGCGGGUCUCUGGGCCGAUACUGACGCUGAGGAGCGAAAGCGUGGGGAGCGAACAG